CCAAAUGACUCUCGGCAACGGAUAUCUCGGCUCUCGCAUCGAUCAAGAACGUAGCGAAAUGCGAUACUUGGUGUGAAUUGCAGAAUCCCGUGAACCAUCGAGUCUUUGAACGCAAGUUGCGCCCGAAGCCAUUAGGCCGAGGGCACGCCUGCCUGGGUGUCGCA
rnacentral:rRNA from 1 species